AUGAGGACCUUCACUUGGUGGUGCACCUUGGAGGACUUUCACUGCCCUUGGCGUGUGAGGCACUUCAGCUCUGCUGUUAGUUCCACCAUGCAGAAUCAUUUCACUAAGUCCUUUGUCAAGCCCAACCUGGGAAUCCUAGGCUUUAAUUGUAAACUGAUGGACACAUUUGCAAUCCAGCUUCAGUGCCGCAGAGGAGUCCAGGGACAGAUAAAGAGAAGAUAUUCUUCACAAGCCUUCAGACAAAACUGUCUUUAUCGGUCAUAUUGGUCAGAAAGGAUCUCAUCAAUCCAGAAGCAGAGAAUUUUGGAAACUACUCAGAAGCUCCUUCUUGCAAGCCACCAUCAGAUCUUCAGUCUGCAGAACUGCUCAAGGUCUCUGUUCUUCUCAUCACACUCACAGAGCAAGCAGAGUUUUCUGUACCCUGAAAAUGGAGAGAAGCCUAGUGCUGAACCCAUGUUCAUUUAUGAAAUGUGGAAGAUGUCCAGGUGCUGA
rnacentral:lncRNA from 1 species